rnacentral:rRNA from 2 species
AGCGUACACGGUGGAUGCCCUGGCAGUCAGAGGCGAUGAAGGACGUGCUAAUCUGCGAAAAGCGUCGGUAAGGUGAUAUGAACCGUUAUAACCGGCGAUGUCCGAAUGGGGAAACCCAGUGCAAUUCGUUGCACUAUCGUUAACUGAAUACAUAGGUUAACGAGGCGAACCGGGGGAACUGAAACAUCUAAGUACCCCGAGGAAAAGAAAUCAACCGAGAUUCCCCCAGUAGCGGCGAGCGAACGGGGAGCAGCCCAGAGUCUGAAUCAGCUUGUGUGUUAGUGGAACGGUCUGGAAAGUCCGACGGUACAGGGUGAUAGUCCCGUACACCAAAAUGCACAGGCUGUGAACUCGAAGAGUAGGGCGGGACACGUGGUAUCCUGUCUGAAUAUGGGGGGACCAUCCUCCAAGGCUAAAUACUCCUGACUGACCGAUAGUGAACCAGUACCGUGAGGGAAAGGCGAAAAGAACCCCGGCGAGGGGAGUGAAAAAGAACCUGAAACCGUGUACGUACAAGCAGUGGGAGCACCUUCGGGUGUGACUGCGUACCUUUUGUAUAAUGGGUCAGCGACUUAUAUUCUGUAGCAAGGUUAACCGUAUAGGGGAGCCGCAGGGAAACCGAGUCUUAACUGGGCGUUAAGUUGCAGGGUAUAGACCCGAAACCCGGUGAUCUAGCCAUGGGCAGGUUGAAGGUUGGGUAACACUAACUGGAGGACCGAACCGACUAAUGUUGAAAAAUUAGCGGAUGACUUGUGGCUGGGGGUGAAAGGCCAAUCAAACCGGGAGAUAGCUGGUUCUCCCCGAAAGCUAUUUAGGUAGCGCCUCGUGAACUCAUCUUCGGGGGUAGAGCACUGUUUCGGCUAGGGGGUCAUCCCGACUUACCAACCCGAUGCAAACUACGAAUACCGAAGAAUGUUAUCACGGGAGACACACGGCGGGUGCUAACGUCCGUCGUGAAGAGGGAAACAACCCAGACCGCCAGCUAAGGUCCCAAAGUCAUGGUUAAGUGGGAAACGAUGUGGGAAGGCACAGACAGCCAGGAUGUUGGCUUAGAAGCAGCCAUCAUUUAAAGAAAGCGUAAUAGCUCACUGGUCGAGUCGGCCUGCGCGGAAGAUGUAACGGGGCUAAACCAUGCACCGAAGCUGCGGCAGCGACACUAUGUGUUGUUGGGUAGGGGAGCGUUCUGUAAGCCUGCGAAGGUGUGCUGUGAGGCAUGCUGGAGGUAUCAGAAGUGCGAAUGCUGACAUAAGUAACGAUAAAGCGGGUGAAAAGCCCGCUCGCCGGAAGACCAAGGGUUCCUGUCCAACGUUAAUCGGGGCAGGGUGAGUCGACCCCUAAGGCGAGGCCGAAAGGCGUAGUCGAUGGGAAACAGGUUAAUAUUCCUGUACUUGGUGUUACUGCGAAGGGGGGACGGAGAAGGCUAUGUUAGCCGGGCGACGGUUGUCCCGGUUUAAGCAUGUAGGCUGGUUAUCCAGGCAAAUCCGGAUAAUCAAGGCUGAGGUGUGAUGACGAGGCACUACGGUGCUGAAGUAACAAAUGCCCUGCUUCCAGGAAAAGCCUCUAAGCAUCAGGUAACAUCAAAUCGUACCCCAAACCGACACAGGUGGUCAGGUAGAGAAUACCAAGGCGCUUGAGAGAACUCGGGUGAAGGAACUAGGCAAAAUGGUGCCGUAACUUCGGGAGAAGGCACGCUGGUGUGUAGGUGAAGUCCCUGCGGAUGGAGCUGAGACCAGUCGAAGAUACCAGCUGGCUGCAACUGUUUAUUAAAAACACAGCACUGUGCAAACACGAAAGUGGACGUAUACGGUGUGACGCCUGCCCGGUGCCGGAAGGUUAAUUGAUGGGGUUAUCCGUAAGGAGAAGCUCUUGAUCGAAGCCCCGGUAAACGGCGGCCGUAACUAUAACGGUCCUAAGGUAGCGAAAUUCCUUGUCGGGUAAGUUCCGACCUGCACGAAUGGCGUAAUGAUGGCCAGGCUGUCUCCACCCGAGACUCAGUGAAAUUGAACUCGCUGUGAAGAUGCAGUGUACCCGCGGCAAGACGGAAAGACCCCGUGAACCUUUACUAUAGCUUGACACUGAACAUUGAGCCUUGAUGUGUAGGAUAGGUGGGAGGCUUUGAAGCGUGGACGCCAGUCUGCGUGGAGCCAACCUUGAAAUACCACCCUUUAAUGUUUGAUGUUCUAACGUUGGCCCCUGACCGGGGUUGCGGACAGUGUCUGGUGGGUAGUUUGACUGGGGCGGUCUCCUCCCAAAGCGUAACGGAGGAGCACGAAGGUUAGCUAAUCCUGGUCGGACAUCAGGAGGUUAGUGCAAUGGCAUAAGCUAGCUUGACUGCGAGCGUGACGGCGCGAGCAGGUGCGAAAGCAGGUCAUAGUGAUCCGGUGGUUCUGAAUGGAAGGGCCAUCGCUCAACGGAUAAAAGGUACUCCGGGGAUAACAGGCUGAUACCGCCCAAGAGUUCAUAUCGACGGCGGUGUUUGGCACCUCGAUGUCGGCUCAUCACAUCCUGGGGCUGAAGUAGGUCCCAAGGGUAUGGCUGUUCGCCAUUUAAAGUGGUACGCGAGCUGGGUUUAGAACGUCGUGAGACAGUUCGGUCCCUAUCUGCCGUGGGCGCUGGAGAAUUGAGGGGGGCUGCUCCUAGUACGAGAGGACCGGAGUGGACGCAUCACUGGUGUUCGGGUUGUCAUGCCAAUGGCACUGCCCGGUAGCUAAAUGCGGAAGAGAUAAGUGCUGAAAGCAUCUAAGCACGAAACUUGCCCCGAGAUGAGUUCU